GAAGGCCGGGGCGCCAAGUUCGUCCAGCAGAAAAAGGCCACAAAAACGGGUGGGCUAUAGCCUUGGGGGGUGGGGCUGGCCAACUUCGUCCGCCGGACUCGGAAUGUCGCGAGACAUUGCGAGGGUCCUCCGUGUACCAAAAAUGGGUCGCGGCCAAAGCCUCGCCCAAAAACAAACGCCCGAAUGCCGGGGCGCCAAGUUCGUCCAGCGGAAAAAGGCCACAAAAACGGGUGGGCUAUAGCCUUGGGGGGUGGGGCUGGCCAACUUCGUCCGCUGGAUUCAGAAUGCCGCGAGACUUUGCGAGGGGCCUCCAUGUGCUAAAAACAGGCCGCGGGCAAAGCCGCGUCCCAAAAUAACCGCCCGAAGGCCGGGGCGCCAAGUUCGUCCCGCGGAAAAAGGCCACAAAAACGGGAGCGCUAUAGCCUUGGGGGGUGGGGCUGGCCAACUUCUUCCGCCGGACUCGGAAUGGUGCGAGACUUUGCGAGGGGCCUCCGUGUGCCUAAAAUAGGCCGUGAACAAACCGCGCCCAAAAAUAACCGCCCGAAGGCCGGGGCGUCAAGUUCGUCCAGCGGAAAAAGGCCACAAAAACGGGUGGGCUAUAGCCUUGGGGGGUGGCGCUGGCCAACUUCGUCCGCCGGACUCGGAAUGGCUCGAGACUUUGCGAGGGGCCUCCGUGUGCCAAAAGUAGGCCGCAGGUAAAGCCGCCCCCAAAAAUAACCACCCGAAGGCCGGGGCGCCAGGUUCGUCCAGCGGAAAAAGGCCACAAAAACGGGUGGGCUAUAGCCCUGGGGGGUGGGAAUGGCCAACUUCGUCCGCCGGACUCGGAAUGCCGCGAGACUUUGUGAGGGGCCUCCGUGUGCCAAAAAUAGGCCGCGGGCAAAGCCGCGCCGAAAAAUAACCGCCCGAAGGCCGGGGCGCCAAUUUCGUCCAGCGGAAAGAGGCCACAAAAACCGGUGGGCUAUAGCCUUGGGGGGUGGGGCUGGCCAACUUUGUCCGCCAGACUCGGAAUGCCAUGAGACUUUGCGAGGGGCCUCCGUGUGCCAUAGAUAGGCUGCGGGCAAAGCCGCGCCAAAAAUAACCGCCCGAAGGCGCUGGCCAACUUCGUCCGCCGGACUCGGAAUGGCGUGAGACUUUACGAGGUGCUUCCGUGUGCCAAAAAAGGCUGAGGGCACAGCCGUGUUAAAAAAUAACCGCCCGAAGGCUGGGGCGCCAAGUUCGUCCAGCGGAAAAAAGCCACAAAAACGGGUGGGAUAUAGCCUUGGGGGGUGGGGCUGGCCAACUUCGUCUGCCGGACUCGGAAUGGCGCGAGACUUUGGGAGGCGCCUCCGUGUACCAAAAAUAGGCUGCGGGCGAAGCCGCACCCAAAAAUAAUCGCCCGAAGGCCGGGGCGCCAAGUUCGUCCAGCGGAAAAAGGCCACAAAAACGGGUGGGCUAUAGCCUUGGGGGGUGGGGCUGGCCAACCUCGUCCGCCGGACUCGGAAUGGCGCGAGACUUUGCGAGGCGCCUUUGAGUGCCAAAAAUAGGCCGCGGGCACAGCCGCGCCCAAAAAUAACCUCCCGAAGGCCGGGGCGCAAAGUUUGUCCUGCGGAAGAAGGCCACAAAAACGGGUGGGCUAUAGCCUUGGGGGGUGGGGCUGGCCAACUUCGUCCGCCGGACUCGGAAUGCCGCGAGACUUUACGAGGGGCCUCCGUGUGCCAAACAUAGGCCGUGGGCAAAGCCGCGCCCAAAAAUAACCGCCCGAAGGCCGGAGCGCCAAGUUCGUCCAGCGGAAAAAGGCCACAGAAACGGGCGGGCUAUAGCCUUGGGGGGUGGGGCUGGCCAGCUUCGUCUGCCGGACUCGGAAUGGCGUGAGACUUUGCGAGGCGUCUCCGCGUGCCAAAAAUAGGCGACGGGCACAGCCGCGCCCAAAAAUAACCACCCAAAGGCCGGAGCGCCAAGUUCGUCCAGUGGAAAAAGGCCACCAAAACGGGUGGGCUAUAGCCUUGGGGGGUGGGGCUGGGCAACUUCGUCCGCCGGACUCGGAAUUGCACGAGACUUUACGAGGUGCCUCCGUGUGCCAAAAAUAGGCCGCGAGCACAGCCGCGCCCAAAAAUAACCGCCCGAAGGCCGGGGCGCCAAGUUCGUCCAGCGGAAAAAGCCCACAAAAAC
rnacentral:lncRNA from 1 species